rnacentral:rRNA from 1 species
GACGAACGCUGGCGGCGUGCUUAACACAUGCAAGUCGAACGGAAAGGCCCUGCUUGCAGGGUACUCGAGUGGCGAACGGGUGAGUAACACGUGGGUGAUCUGCCUUGCUCUUCGGGUUGAGCUUGGGCGACUGGGUCUAAUACCGGAUGGGUACCAUAUUUAGUGGGGUGGUUGGAAAGUUUUUUCGGUGUAGGAUGAGCUCGCGGCCUAUAAGCGUGUUGGUGGGGUAAUGGCCUACCAAGCCGGCGAGGGGUAGCCGGCCUGCGAGGGUGUACAGCCACAUUGGGACUGAGAGACAGGCCAGACUACUACGGGUGGCAGCAGUGGGGAAUAUUGCACAAUGGGCCGAAGCCUGAUGCAGCGAGGCCGCCUGAGCGAUGAAGGCCUUCAUGUUGUAAGCACCUUUCUCUAAGGAAGUAUCUUCGUCUUGACGGUACCUAGAUAGGAAGCCCCGGCUAACUACGUG